UUCCUGAUGGCUCAGACGGUAAAAGAAUCUGCCUGCAAUGCAGAAGACCUGGGUUCGAUCCUGGGUUUGGGAA
rnacentral:tRNA from 1 species